rnacentral:rRNA from 1 species
UACAGAGACUGCAAGCGUUAUCCGGAUUCACUGGGUUUAAAGGGUGCGUAGGUGGAUUGGUAAGUCAGUGGUGAAAUCUCCAGGCUUAACUUGGAAACUGCCAUUGAUACUAUCAAUCUUGAAUGCCGUGGAGGUCAGCGGAAUAUGUCAUGUAGCGGUGAAAUGCUUAGAUAUGACAUAGAACACCAAUUGCGAAGGCAGCUGGCUACACGAAGAUUGACACUGAUGCACGAAAGCGUGGGGAU